rnacentral:rRNA from 1 species
UACAGAGGUCUCAAGCGUUGUUCGGAUUCAUUGGGCGUAAAGGGUGCGUAGGCGGCGGGGUAAGUCAGAUGUGAAAUCUCGGGGCUCAACUCCGAAACUGCAUUUGAUACUGCCUUGCUUGAGUAUUGGAGAGGAGAUUGGAAUUUACGGUGUAGCAGUGAAAUGCGUAGAUAUCGUAAGGAAGACCAGUGGCGAAGGCGAAUCUCUGGACAAUUACUGACGCUGAGGCACGAAGGCCAGGGGAGCAAACGGG